GACAAUGAACCAACAAGUCAUUAAACACAUGAUACAUGAAACAGGAAAUUAAAGUGACGAGUGGAAAGGAUUGGGGAUGUGCAAAG